rnacentral:rRNA from 1 species
GUGAAUACGAAUCUCCUGAACGCACAUUGCGCCCUCUGGUAUUCCUCAGGGCAUGCCUGUUCGAGCGUCACU